GCCCAGGUGGUGAAAUCGGUAGACACAAGGGAUUUAAAAUCCCUCGGCGUUCGCGCUGUGCGGGUUCAAGUCCCGCCCUGGGCACCA
rnacentral:tRNA from 1 species